AUUGAACGCUGGCGGCGUGCUUAACACAUGCAAGUCGAGCGGUAACAGGUGUAGCAAUACAUGCUGACGAGCGGCGAACGGGUGAGUAAUGCUUCGGAAUCUGCCCAGUAGUGGGGAAUAACCAGCCGAAAGGUUGGCUAAUACCGCGUACGCUCCUUGGACUUCGGUUCAGGGAGGAAAGCGAUACCGUGGGUAUCGCGCUCUUGGAUGGGCUCAUGUCCAUCAGCUUGUUGGUGAGGUAACGGCUCACCAAGGCUUCGACGGGUAGCUGGUCUGAGAGGACGAUCAGCCACACUGGCACUGCGACACGGGCCAGACUCCUACGGGAGGCAGCAGUAAGGAAUAUUGCGCAAUGGGCGAAAGCCUGGCGCAGCGACGCCGC
rnacentral:rRNA from 1 species